GAUGAACGCUAGCUACAGGCUUAACACAUGCAAGUCGAGGGGCAGCGGGAUUGUAGCAAUACAAUUGCCGGCGACCGGCGCACGGGUGAGUAACGCGUAUGCAACUUACCUAUCAGAGGGGGAUAACCCGGCGAAAGUCGGACUAAUACCGCAUGAAGCAGGGAUCCCGCAUGGGAAUAUUUGCUAAAGAUUCAUCGCUGAUAGAUAGGCAUGCGUUCCAUUAGGCAGUUGGCGGGGUAACGGCCCACCAAACCGACGAUGGAUAGGGGUUCUGAGAGGAAGGUCCCCCACAUUGGUACUGAGACACGGACCAAACUCCUACGGGAGGCAGCAGUGAGGAAUAUUGGUCAAUGGGCGUAAGCCUGAAACCAGCCAAGUCGCGUGAGGGAUGAAAGGUUCUAUGGAUCGUAAACCUCUUUUAUAAGGGAAUAAAGUGUGGGACGUGUCCUAUUUUGUAUGUACCUUAUGAAUAAGGAUCGGCU
rnacentral:rRNA from 1 species